rnacentral:rRNA from 1 species
AUUGAACGCUGGCGGCAGGCUUAACACAUGCAAGUCGAACGGUAAGGCCCUUCGGGGUACACGAGUGGCGAACGGGCGAGUAACACGUGGGUGCUCUGCCAUGCACUCCGGGAUAACGGUUCGAAAGAGGUGCUACUACCGGAUACGAACUCCUUGGGCUGACUUGGAGUUGGAAAGUUUCUCGGUCUGGGAAGGGCCCGCGGCCUAUCAGCUCGUUGGUGAGGUAACGGAUCACCAAGGCGACGGCGAGUAGCCGGCCUGAGAGGGUGACCGGCCACACUGGGACUGAGACACGGCCCAGACGCCUACGGGAGGCAGCAGUGGGGAAUAUUGUACAAUGGGCGCAAGCCUGAUGCAGCAACGCCGCGUGAGGGAUGACGGCCUUCGGGUUGUAAACCUCUUUUAGUAGGGAAGAAGCGAAAGUGACGGUACCUGCAGAAAAAGCACCGGCUAACUACGUGCCAGCAGCCGCAGUAACAC